GGGGAUUUAGCUCAGUGGCAUAAGCACCUGCCUUGCAAGCAGGCAGUCAGUGAGUUCAAUCCCCG
rfam:Cavia porcellus supercont2_9 genomic scaffold, whole genome shotgun sequence.